rnacentral:lncRNA from 1 species
GCCAACCAAGAUAAGGAUAAAGAAAAAGGAGGGAGACAAGCAAUUAAGGGAAUGGCUUAGGUUUGUUGAUUUUGGGUCCCUCCCGUCGCUGUCUUCAUCAUCACCGCUUCUGCCUUCUCCUCCGUUCCUAUCCAUAUUCGUGAACUCUCUCUCUCUCUCAUCGAGGAAGCCUACGAAUUCCACCAAAGUGUUUCUCCAUUUUCGUUCAUCCCUCUGCCACACGAACAGUCCAUUUCAACAAAAAGAAUUGACUGGCUUCGACGCCAAGAUCCCACCGAAGCCCUCAACUCCACGCGUCCAUCUUCCACUUCGCUGUACCAGUCGGCAAUCGAGUUGAAGAUGCCGAGGCAGCAACCGAAGCUGCCCCAUCUCACACACCACCGAAGCAAGGAAAUCUGCAGAAGCAAGAACGGCCGCACGUCUCCACCAUCGAAGACCUUCGCUUCAGCCAGCGCCUCCACGCGUCCUCAACCAGAGCUCCUUCGGUCAACCGCAGCAAGCCCACCGAAAAUCAGUGGUUGACUGAGCAGCUUUGUUCAGCUGCCACUUGGCUGUGAGGCCUUCGGUCGGUGCCUCCCUCACACGCCCACCGAGCUGAGCUCCUAUCUGCUGGGCCGAAGUUGUCUCAACUGAAGUCACCAAUUCCCCAGCAGCAACUCCACGUCGACGCUGCAGCCCCACUUCGGCUUGUCUUCAACAGAGUCAACGGAACUAGCAGCUUCUUCUCUUCUGUUGACUGAAGCUGCCAGCAGAUGCCCCUUCUCCACUGAGGUUGGUCGGCCACAGAAGCCAGCAAGCUGUCCGAGAAUUUUCUCCAUCGUCAACCGAAGCCGUAGCACCUUCCAGUGAAGACCGAAGCAGCCCACUUCGCAGCCCAAAUGAUCAGUAUUUUGGUCCAUCAAGCAGCCUGCAGUUUGACAUCUUGAGGCCCAGCAAUUUCCUUGUGAACUCAGCCCAUCAUCAAUUAGAAUUGAAGCCCAGCAAAAUUUGGCCCAAGCUUCAGCCCAAGUUGUUUGAAAGGCAGGCCCAAUUCAGCUUUGCUUCAAGCCCAAGUUCAGGCUCAGUCCAAGGAUUCCAGCAGGCCUAAGCCCAGAAAUUUCUGCAGGCUUGUGAGGCUUUUGAGCUCGGCCCGAGUGUCCGCCGACGCCGCCGAAAGUUUGGAAUUCGGCCACCGUCGCGGUGUCCCGGUCCCCGUUUUUAAUCAAGUGAGUUUUACUCACUAAAGCUUGCUAAUUAUGCUUAGGGUUGGUUAGAUUUAAUUAAGUGCAAUUAGGUGGUUAGAUUAGGUUAGAACAAUUAAUUUAGUGACUUAAUGAUGCACGUUAGGUGGUUAGACCUAGCUAUUAGCAAGUAGAAAUGUUUGGUUAUUUAUUGAAUGUAUCUCGGGAUUUUUCCCGACCCGUUUCGGGCUCCAAUAAGGCAAUAUGGGCCUAAAUUGGAUUUUUAUUAUUUAUUUAUUUAAUUUUCUAAAUUAAUUAUUUAAUUAAUUAUUUUUUUCCGGAAAUUCAAUCGGGAUGGCCGAUGACCAGAAUUUCGUGCUGAUUGUCGUGGUGUAGCCCAUUUAUUUAUUUGAGCUCUACGUUGUGUGGAAUUGAAUUAAUUGUGAAAUUUGAGAAUUUAUCCUUAAUUGUUUGUUAUUGAAUAUUUGAUUGGUAAUGGCCAAGCAUGGGUAUAUAGCGCUAGUACGUUGAUGGGCUAUAUAGUAGGGAGAAUGGUGAGAGCUAACUGAGAACAUUAUUGGUUGAGACCAAUCAGGUAUGAUAUUAUUGGACAUACGUGGUUCGGUGAUUGGAAGUAUCACUGGCGAAAACGGCGCCUUAAAGAACGCACGUAAAUGACUUAUAGACAAACGUGGUUUGGUGAUUAUGGAAAUAUCACUGGUGAAAACGACGCCUUAAAGAACUCACGAUGUUGUCUAUUGUCGAUGUCACCUUGGCGAAAACGGCGCCCUAGAAAGGACACGUGGUUGGGUGAUCGAGGAUAUCACUGGUGAAAACAGCGCCUUAAAGAAGGCACGGUGUCAGUGAUCGGUAUGUCAUUGGCGAAAACGACGCCCGAGAAACACAUGUGAUUUGAUGAAUAAGUGCACCACUGGGAAAUCGUGGUAUGAGUGGAAAUGACCUAGAGAGGGUCUGAUUGACAUGUAAUCGACUUAGUCGAUUGACUAUCUAUGUUUGAAUAUCUAUGUUUAAAUAUCUAUGCUUAACCUUGAAUUGCAGGUUGGAACUGAGGCCAAGGUAAGUCCUCUGACUCAAGUUGUGCUUAGGCAAUCGUAUGGCGUAUUAGUUUAUUAAUCGAGUCUUAGGGGGUAGGACUCGCUGAGACGUGGUCUCAUUGGUUAUUGAAUAACCAUUUCAGGACCCUGAGGUGAAGCUAAGGAAGAGAAACCUGAAGGGGAGAAAGACUUUUGAAGAAGAAGAAGAUCCAGAGAGGGAUCUCGAAUAUAACCCGGAUGUGGACUGAGAUCCCAUCCCUUUUGUAAACCCUGUCUUAGCAUACAUAGGUGUGAGACUUUUAUGCUGUAAAUAGUAUUGUAAAAAUACUAUAAGUUGUGCUGUUAAUCAAAGUGUGGUUGUGAAUUUCAAUAUGAAAAAUAUGGCCUACUUUCCUAUCCCAUUGUUUUAUUGUCUGAGGAUUUAUAACUGCUUCUGCAUGUGCUUAAUAAAAAGAAAGGGUCGGCG